rnacentral:rRNA from 1 species
ACACGGGGGGCGCAAGCGUUAUUCGGAAUUAUUGGGCGUAAAGGGCGCGUAGGCGGUCUUGUCGGUCAGAUGUGAAAGCCCAGGGCUCAACCUUGGACGUGCAUUUGAAACAGCAAGACUUGAGUACGGGAGAGGAAAGCGGAAUUCCUGGUGUAGAGGUGAAAUUCGUAGAUAUCAGGAGGAACACCGAUGGCGAAGGCAGCUUUCUGGACCGAUACUGACGCUGAGGCGCGAAGGCGUGGGUAGCGAACAGGAUUAGAAACCCUAGUAGUCC